rnacentral:misc_RNA from 1 species
UAAAAAAAAAAAAGAAAAAAGAAAUCAACCCUAUUUGUUAAAUAUGAUAUAAAGCCAUAAUUGGUUUUCUUUUUCUUUCUUUGGCAUCAGUUAAGCAUUAUUUGGUGUUCGGUUAACUUUGAUUGAAGAUCUAAAAAGAGGAAAUAGUGGACUAUGGCACAUGCAUUAAUAAAAUAUUCUUAUAUUUAUGUAAGGAUAUAAAUAAGUUGAAAAAGAAAGUAAAAAAGGUUACUUGUAGAAUUAGUUUAGGUAAGUGAGCUGCAAAUACAAUAUUUAAAACAUAUAAAGAAGGAAAUCAAGAAGAAUGUGAUAUGGACCUGCAGCAGCUAGGAGAAUCCCAAAGCAGUUUAUUUUUCUGUGUUAGUUUAUUUUCCUAUUAAAUUAAA